GAAUGCNGGCGGCUGGUUCAUACAUGGAAGUAGNAAGCAUCCUUCGGGGUGAGUGGCAGACGGGUGAGAAUGUUUGCGAACGUGCCCUUGAGAUCGGAAUAACCCAGGGAAACUUGGGCUAAUACCGGAUACGUGCGAGAGCAGAAAGAUUUAUCGCUGAAGGAUCGGCCCGCGUCUGAUUAGCUGGUUGGUGAGGUAAUGGCUCACCAAGGCGACGAUCAGUAGCUGGUCUGAGAGGAUGAUCAGCCACAUUGGGACUGAGACACGGCCCAAACUCCUACGGGAGGCAGCAGUGGG
rnacentral:rRNA from 1 species